rnacentral:rRNA from 1 species
UUAAGUGAAUAAGGGCGCACGGUGGAUGCCUUGGCACUAGGAGCCGAUGAAGGACGGGACUAACACCGAUAUGCUUUGGGGAGCUGUAAGUAAGCUAUGAUCCAGAGAUUUCCGAAUGGGGGAACCCAGCAUCUUUUAUAGGAUGUUACACAGUUGUGAAUACAUAGCAGCUGUGAGGUAGACGCAGAGAACUGAAACAUCUAAGUACCUGCAGGAAGAGAAAGAAAAUUCGAUUCCCUGAGUAGCGGCGAGCGAAACGGGAAAAGCCCAAACCAACAAGCUUGCUUGUUGGGGUUGUAGGACUCCGAUAUGGUAGUUGAAACAGAUAGUCGAAAUACUUGGAAAAGUAUGUCAAAGAGGGUAAAAACCCCGUAGAUGAAAUCUGGCUCACACCUAGGAGGAUCCUGAGUACGGCGGAACACGAGGAAUUCCGUCGGAAUCCGGGAGGACCAUCUCCCAAGGCUAAAUACUCCCUAGUGACCGAUAGUGAACCAGUACCGUGAGGGAAAGGUGAAAAGCACCCCGGAAGGGGAGUGAAAUAGAUCCUGAAACCGUGUGCCUACAACAAGUUAGAGCCCGUUAAUGGGUGAUAGCGUGCCUUUUGUAGAAUGAACCGGCGAGUUACGAUAGCAUGCGAGGUUAAGUUGAAGAGACGGAGCCGCAGCGAAAGCGAGUCUGAAUAGGGCGAAUGAGUAUGUUGUCGUAGACCCGAAACCAUGUGAUCUACCCAUGUCCAGGUUGAAGGUGCGGUAAAACGCACUGGAGGACCGAACCCACGUACGUUGAAAAGUGCGGGGAUGAGGUGUGGGUAGCGGAGAAAUUCCAAACGAACUUGGAGAUAGCUGGUUCUCUCCGAAAUAGCUUUAGGGCUAGCCUCGGAAUUGAGAAUGAUGGAGGUAGAGCACUGUUUGGACUAGGGGCCCAUCUCGGGUUACCGAAUUCAGAUAAACUCCGAAUGCCAUUCAUUCAUAUCCGGGAGUCAGACUGUGAGUGAUAAGAUCCAUAGUCGAAAGGGAAACAGCCCAGACCACCAGCUAAGGUCCCCAAAUAACUAUUAAGUGGAAAAGGAUGUGGGGUUGCACAGACAACUAGGAUGUUGGCUUAGAAGCAGCCACCAUUUAAAGAGUGCGUAAUAGCUCACUAGUCGAGUGACCCUGCGCCGAAAAUGUACCGGGGCUAAAUAGUUUACCGAAGCUGUGGAGUGCACCGUAAGGUGCAUUGGUAGGAGAGCGUUCUAAGGGCGUUGAAGGUAGAUCGUGAGGACUACUGGAGCGCUUAGAAGUGAGAAUGCCGGUAUGAGUAGCGAAAGACAGGUGAGAAUCCUGUCCACCGUAUGACUAAGGUUUCCUGGGGAAGGCUCGUCCGCCCAGGGUUAGUCGGGACCUAAGCCGAGGCCGACAGGCGUAGGCGAUGGACAACAGGUUGAUAUUCCUGUACCCGUUGUUUUUGUUUGAGCAAUGGAGGGACGCAGGAGGCUAAGAAGUGCAGACUGAUGGAUAUGUCUGUUCAAGCAGUGAGUCUUAGUGGGAGUCAAAUGCUUCUACUUUCAAGGACAAGCUGUGAUGAGGAGGGAAAUAAUAGUACCGAAGCUUCUGAUGUCACACUGCCAAGAAAAGCUUCUAGUGAGAAACAAUGGCCCGUACCGCAAACCGACACAGGUAGUCGAGGAGAGCAUCCUAAGGUGAGCGAGAGAACUCUCGUUAAGGAACUCGGCAAAAUGACCCCGUAACUUCGGGAGAAGGGGUGCUGCUCUAACGAGCAGCCGCAGUGAAUAGGCCCAAGCGACUGUUUAUCAAAAACACAGGUCUCUGCAAAUCGAAAGAUGACGUAUAGGGGCUGACGCCUGCCGGUGCUGGAAGGUUAAGAGGAGUGCUUAGCGUAAGCGAAGGUACGAAUUGAAGCCCCAGUAAACGGCGCCGUAACUAUAACGGUCCUAAGGUAGCGAAAUUCCUUGUCGGGUAAGUUCCGACCCGCCACGAAAGGCGUAACGAUUUGGGCACUGUCUCAACGAGAGACUCGGUGAAAUUUUUAGUACCUGUGAAGAUGCAGGUUACCCGCGACAGGACGGAAAGACCCCAUGGAGCUUUACUGUAGUUUGAUAUUGAGUGUCUGUACCGCAUGUACAGGAUAGGUAGGAGCCGUAGAGAUCGGGACGCCAGUUUCGAUGGAGGCAAUGGUGGGAUACUACCCUUGCGUUAUGGCCACUCUAACCCGCAGCCCUUAUCGGGCUGGGA